rnacentral:rRNA from 1 species
CCGCCCCGAAUUGUAGUCUAGAAAGGCGCCAUCGGCCUCGCCCGCCGCUCAAAUCCCUUGGAACAGGGUAUCGGAGAAGGUGAGAAUCCUGUACCGUGGUGGAGCGCGGCCGCACGAUGCGUCCUUACAGAGUCGGGUUGCUUGGGAUUGCAGCUUGAAGUGGGUGGUAAAUUCCAUCUAAAGCUAAAUAUUGGCUCAUGACCGAUAGCGAACAAGUACCGUGAGGGAAAGAUGCAAAGAACUUUGAAAAGAGAGUUAAAGAGUGCUUGAAAUCGGAGUGAGGAAACCCGGUUGUGCCCGGAUUCGCGCCGUCGACUCAGCCGUCUCGAAGCGGUGCACUUUGUCGGCGCGGGCCUGACGCGUCUGCGUUCUCACUACAAUCACUGGGGGAGCCUCGGUGAGCCCAGACAUGCUGAGGGUGCGGCCUCGUCAGGCGGAACGGGCGCAACCGACCCGUCUAGAAACACGGACCAAGGAGUCUGACACGGAUGCGAGUACCCGGGUGGCAAGCCCGCGUGCGCAAUGAAAGUGAAGGGCGUGCCCCGCCAACCGACCUUGAUCUUCUGUGAAGGGUUUGAGUCGAGCAUCACUGUCGGGACCCGAAAGAUGGUGAACUAUGCCUGAGGAGGUUGAAGUCUGCCGAAAGGCAGAUGGAGGACCGUCGCGAUGCUGACGUGCAAAUCGUUCGUCGAACUUGGGUAUUGGGGCGAAAGACUAAUCGAACCAUCUAGUAGCUGGUUCCCUCCGAAGUUUCCCUCAGGAUAGCUUGGACGCAAGGGUUUUGU